rnacentral:rRNA from 1 species
GCUGAAAGAUGGCCUCGCGUCUGAUUAGAUAGUUGGUGGGGUAACGGCCUACCAAGUCAACGAUCAGUAGCCGGUCUGAGAGGAUGAACGGCCACAUUGGGACUGAGAUACGGCCCAGACUCCUACGGGAGGCAGCAGUGGGGAAUAUUGGGCAAUGGGGGAAACCCUGACCCAGCAACGCCGCGUGAAGGAAGAAGGCCUUCGGGUUGUAAACUUCUUUUACCAGGGACGAAGGACGUGACGGUACCUGGAGAAAAAGCAACGGCUAACUACGUGCCAGCAGCCGCGGUAAUACGUAGGUUGCAAGCGUUGUCCGGAUUUACUGGGUGUAAAGGGCGUGUAGGCGGAGGAGCAAGUCAGAUGUGAAAUCCAUGGGCUUAACCCAUGAACUGCAUUUGAAACUGUUUCCCUUGAGUAUCGGAGAGGCAAGCGGAAUUCCUAGUGUAGCGGUGAAAUGCGUAGAUAUUAGGAGGAACACCAGUGGCGAAGGCGGCUUGCUGGACGACAACUGACGCUGAGGCGCGAAAGCGUGGGGAGCAAACAGGAUUAGAUACCCUGGUAGUCCACGCUGUAAACGAUGAAUACUAGGUGUGGGAGGACUGACCCCUUCCGUGCCGCAGUUAACACAAUAAGUAUUCCACCUGGGGAGUACGACCGCAAGGUUGAAACUCAAAGG